AUAACAUAUUAUCUAGCUUGUUGCAACGAUUAACAAUAUUAUAUUGACAAUGAAUAACCGCAUUUUUAGUCUUUACAUGUAUUUGAACGUCUUGAUUCAUCUUCAUGGUAUAGUCAGCUGUUGUUGUUGCUAGCUAGCGAUAAUUUCGUAGCUAACGUUAGCUAGCUAGCUACCCAAAUGGUUCAUCCAGCUGCAACUAAUUAUUUUGAUGUUUCCAUCUAGCUUACUAUCAAAUCGAGACAAAUGUAGCAAUGUAUGAGGGACCAUCUCUAUUUUUGACCGUUUUCAAGGGCUGUCAAUCUAAAUGUAAAGUGCCGUUUUUUUUUCUUCCAGCAGUGGAACGUCUGUUACGUAACGUAAUUUGUUGCACUGUCAACACAGUUUGAACUUGCAAGGCAUGGUGGCUCGGCGAGAUCUCGAGCUCUCCAACGUAGCCACAACGAAAACGAAGUAGCUUUGUGUUCACCGCCAAAUCGGUUAUUAUUAGACAGUUGGUUGCAUUUUAAAGCCUGUAACAGUGCAUGUCAAUAUCUCGUGGUCCAUUCGCGUUGUGGCUGCUGGCUGGCUUGUUAUUUGAUAACCUGAUAAACCUAGCCAGUCCUGUUGUUUAGUUUGACAUUUUGAGUCGUUACUUCAUUGCUACCCACAUUGUCUAAUUAACUUUAUUCUUAUCACAAUGGCCUAGGUGCAUUGGGAAAGGAUAGCCAGCUAGCUUGUUAACAAUGGCAACCAUGCGUCGUCCAAGGUACUCUCUCCGAGACUCUCUGUACUGGGACGAGACUGAGUGCCUGACGUACUAUGGGAUGCUCUCUCUACACGAGAUGUUUGAAGUUGUCGGUUCUCAACUGACAGAGACAGACGUUGAGGUGCUGUCGUUCCUCUUGGAUGAGACCUAUCCGGCCGGAGGGCACCCCUUGGACCCAGCUGGCUGGACCAGCGAGCCCGGUGAGGAAGACCCCGAGGCCAGUAAAGGAGUCUCCCCCAGCCCAGUGCUCCUGGAGGCCUGGCGGCGGUUACAGCCCAAGGUUCCUGCUUUGGCCUGCCCUACCGCUGCCCGCCACAAGCCCAAGAGUGGGCUAGAACUGCUGCUGGAGCUGGAGAGACGUGGGUACCUCAGUGAGGGUAACCUGGAGCCCCUGUUGCAGCUGCUGCGAGUCCUGACGCGACACGACCUCCUGCCUUUGGUGUCCCGCAAGAAAAGGAGGACAGUAUCACCAGAACGUUUCAGAGUGGACUACGGGACAGAGGACAAAAGACAGGUGUGCACAUCUGGACUGACUGACCCCUGUGCACAGACAGAAUCACAUGACGAACACGCCACACAGCAAUGGAGGGGGGGUGUUGACUCUGCCAGGCCAACGCCCGCCCCCCUACGGAAGAAGAGGGGUAAAGGCCGCCGCUGGACCAGCAAGCCCACUGCCCACAGGAGAAGAACGGGCAUCCCUGAAACUCCUCCCCCACCUAUAUCUGAGAAAGUGACCUGCGACAUUCGUCUGCGUGUGCGAGCAGAAUACUGGGAGCAUGAGUCGGCUCUGCGCGGCAGCGUCUCCUCGGACAAGCAGCAGCCCCUGGAGCGGCAGUUUGAGCUGUUCAGUCGUGCCACCUCCGUGCUGCGCGCCCGCGACCUGGGCUCCAUCAUCUGUGACAUCAAGUUCUCUGAGCUGGACAACCUGGAGGCCUUCUGGGGGGACUAUCUGAGUGGAGCGCUGCUAGAGGCCCUGAAGGGGGUGUUCAUCACAGACUCUCUGCGGAGGGCGGCGGGGAGUGAGGGGGUCCGGCUGCUGAUCAGUGUGGACCAGGAUGACUACGAGGAGGGUCGCAGACUGCUGCUGGACGCACAGGAACAACAGGCCGGCUGCUGGGGACGAGACAGGCAUCAGAGCCAUAUACACUACCUGGUCUCACGUUGUCAUACUCCCUAGACCCAACCUGAGAAAGCUGGUUAUGGACGUUCGGCUCUGACAGACAGACAGGCAGCUGUGCGAGGUCAUGAGCCCAAGGAUAGAGGAAUGAAAAGGAGAAUAAAAUAUGAAGAGGAACAUUUUUAUUUUUUCUCUCCUUUUUAAGUCUCUCAUGCUGAGAAAAGAGGAUACAGCCACUCCUAGGUCAGGGGAAUGAAUAGUCUCCAGGGAAAACAGCCAAACUUGGAGCAAAGGCAAACUGGACUAAAAGACUUGACACACUGUUCUGUUUGGAAUUGAUAACACAAGUUGUACUGAGCCUAGAUGCCCUCAGGGCACUGAGGAAGAGACUGCCUUUGUUACACACACACACACACACACACACACACACACACAGAGACAAACUAAACUUCCACUGUAGCACACACACACACAAACUACCACUGUAUCUAACAUAAACACUCUUAAAAUCAUCCACACGAUGAACCAUCAGCGCUGCCUGUAAGACUCAUUGAAGCCAAGAGACAUUUCUUGCUAACAGUGACAGCCCAGAUCCAAACUAGACUGUGCGCUAAUGCUGAGCAUCUCUGGUUAUGUUUGAGGAGCGCGUGAGAUGCCCUGCAAGGCGAACUUCACCCAUCUUAAUAUUAGUUUGUGUUUCCAUUGAAAUGUAUGAUUUUGAAAAGAUGAGCGAGACUGCAGCUCUCAGACAACGAGGGAGAGAUGAUGGGGAAAUUACUAAAGAUUAUGUUUUGACCUUUUGGGAGAGAUUUAGAAAUAGAUAGCGAAGGGAAGACUACCUGAGGACAGUGUAGUGGACAAAUAGCUGGUCCUUCGAGAACUCCAGUCCACACACACACCAUGAUCACAAGCCACUGGUAGUCCCAUCAUGCUAACCCAGGGCCUGACAGCUGUGGUCAGUGGCCAUCUCAUCUCAGAUGCCAGUAGAUGAUAGGAGUGAUUACCUCUCAACCUCAGCCAACCAUGGAGAACUCAUCACCACAAGUUGUUGAACAGCAGCUGGGAUCACACACUAGGCUGUGCUCACCCCGGCUUCCAGCAAGGCAAGGCCACUGCCUUUCCCAUUGGAACUGAAGCACAGGACAGGGCUUCAGUCAAUAAAACUGAUGUGGAGGAGAUCAAUAUCAGAAGGAUACAUCCUAGUUCCACUCAGCCCUGACUUGUAGGCCCCACUGGUGGCUCACAGAGCGUUGUCUGUCUCUAGUCUAGUCACCCUGGUGGAACUAAUGCCUGAACUCCUCUGAGUGGGAUCAAUAACCCCCUCUGUCUCUCCACCACCACCAUGGGAGGAGAAAGAGUAAGGGGGAGAGGUAGGAGAAGGGGAAAGAGAGGAGAGGUAGAAGGAAAGAGAGAAGAAUCCCCACCUCCAUCCCGCCUUUCAGCUCCUGGACAGCCACCUCAUCCUCUGGAGGAUAAGUCCCCUGAUACAACCAGGCUGCCUGGUCUGCUACAGCACUGUGUCUGGUUCACACAGCCCUAUGGGACCAGGGAUGGAGGACUAGAGGCACUCAGGAAAACCUUAGUAGUUUGCUUUUUCUGUGUUUUGAUAUAUGGAUUCGUUAGUGUAGCUUUGUAUUGUCCAUAAGAGAAAAUAACAAAAAUACUGUGUGUUGUAGUUCAUUAACUUAGGGUGAACUUUUGUUUAAGUAUCUGGAUAUUUUUAUUUAGGCACUGCAAAAGUGCUGUAUAUUAGUUUAAUAUAUCAGUGGAAAGUUGGAAUUAUUUCAAAUAAAAAUAAAUGAUUUAUCAAAGGUU